rnacentral:rRNA from 1 species
GCUGUUUCACCUGCAAGUCGAGCGGACAGAAGGGAGCUUGCUCCCGGAUGUUAGCGGCGGACGGGUGAGUAACACGUGGGUAACCUGCCUGUAAGACUGGGAUAACUCCGGGAAACCGGAGCUAAUACCGGAUAGUUCCUUGAACCGCAUGGUUCAAGGAUGAAAGACGGUUUCGGCUGUCACUUACAGAUGGACCCGCGGCGCAUUAGCUAGUUGGUGGGGUAAUGGCUCACCAAGGCGACGAUGCGUAGCCGACCUGAGAGGGUGAUCGGCCACACUGGGACUGAAACACGCCCCAGACUCCUACGGGAGGCAGCAGUAGGGAAUCUUCCGCAAUGAACGAAAGUCUGACGAAACAACGCCGCGUAAGUGAUAAAGGUUUUCGAAUCGUAAACUUUU